CUUGCCCUUAGAAGCCUUGCAGGUUUGGCUGCUGUGUCACAUGUGCAUCAGUAGGUGGCAGAGAGGAGAGAGGCUAUGUCUGCUCUCAGUGUUUUGACCAAUUAACUUCUAAAUGAUUAGUAGCCUAACAUU
rnacentral:snoRNA from 1 species